UACGUAGGGUGCAAGCGUUGUCCGGAAUUAUUGGGCGUAAAGAGCUCGUAGGCGGCUUGUCACGUCGACUGUGAAAACCCGGGGCUCAACUCCGGGCCUGCAGUCGAUACGGGCUGGCUUGAGUGCGGUAGGGGAGACUGGAAUUCCUGGUGUAGCGGUGAAAUGCGUAGAUAUCCGGAGGAACACCGGUGGCGAAGGCGGCUUCCUGGACCGACACUGACGCUGAGGCGCGAAAGCUAGGGGAGCAAACGGU
rnacentral:rRNA from 1 species